GCAGAGCUAGAGCAGUGGGCAUGGUGGGAUAGGUUGAUGAUUGAUGGGCUGAUGGUUGGGCUUGAUGAGCUUAGUGGUCUUUUUGAACCUUAAUGGUUCUACAAUUCUCUGACGUUCUCUCGUUUCACAGCCUGUGCAGUGCUUUUCCCUCUGUUUGGCAUUGGAUAGCCAAGGACAGAAGUCUAAAAGCAGGCAGGUUAUUCUCCAAAUGCACCACAAAACAACAGCGACAACAACGAGGGAAGAUGUUGGAGCUCUGAUCCUGAAAGAUCUUUCUGAGGUGCUGAGUCCUGCCCAUGGAGAUGCUACAGGAGCUCCUGGGCUGCAUCAGCCAAGGCUGAAGGUCAGCUCAGGAGGAGCUGGGCCAGGUGCAGCUCCUGCAGUGGGGGCUUGCACAUGCUAGAGCUGUGCAAGUGAAAUACAGGGUUUAGGAGUCUGCAAAAGAACUGCAGACAGGGAGAUGCUAGCUCCCUGACUCAGCAGCUGUGGUCCUGCUCUUCUAGAAACCACAGGACCGAGCUGCUGCACUACUAGAUGAUAGUGGAGGCAACACCAAGACCAUUGCAUAACCUCAUCUAUCUUCUGUGGAAGCCUGAAGUCUACAGGAAAGCACAAAUCCAAGCCUCUAGAAGUAUAAUUGACCCUGAGGCCUGGCUUCAUCACACACAACUCAACAGCAGCAUCGGUUCUUCUGCCCAACCAGAGCCCAGACCGUCAGUGCAGGAACACUGCAGCCCAGGUUGGCACCAAUGAGUCCCAGUGCUGUGCUGGGUGCAGAAAGUGGAACAGGAGAACACUUCAGGAGCUGCACUCAGGUGGGACAGGACUGUGGAAACAAGCUGCCCAACAGCAAAUUGGUGAGCAUCUGUUGCUACUGAUCCAAAUAACAAGAAGAUCUUGAGUGACACUGCCUUGAGAAAAGAAAAUUCUGAGGGAAGCAAACAGCAAAUGGCCCCUGAAUAUCUCAGUGCUGGACUAUUUUGCAGUAAAUUUGCUGUUCUGUGGUGCAGUGCAGAUGUGGUGAGCAGGUCUUUGCUCUGAAGGGCUUUUGCCAUCUGAGCACAGAG
rnacentral:lncRNA from 1 species